GAUGAACGCUAGCGAUAGGCUUAACACAUGCAAGUCGAGGGGCAGCAUGGUCUUAGCUUGCUAAGACUGAUGGCGACCGGCGCACGGGUGCGUAACGCGUAUGCAACUUGCCUCACAGAGGGGGAUAACCCGUCGAAAGACGGACUAAUACCGCGUACACUCUAUUUUGGGCAUCCAAGGUAGAGGAAAUGAAAUUCGCUGUGAGAUAGGCAUGCGUCCCAUUAGCUAGUUGGUGAGGUAACGGCUCACCAAGGCGACGAUGGGUAGGGGAACUGAGAGGUUGAACCCCCACACUGGUACUGAGACACGGACCAGACUCCUACGGGAGGCAGCAGUGAGGAAUAUUGAUCAAUGGGCGAGGGCCUGAACCAGCCAAGUCGCGUGAAGGAUGACUGUCUUAUGGAUUGUAAACUUCUUUUGUAGGGGAAUAAAGAGGGGCACGUGUGCCCCAGUGAAUGUACCCUACGAAUAAGCAUCGGCUAACUCCGUG
rnacentral:rRNA from 1 species